rnacentral:rRNA from 1 species
AUUGAACGCCGGCGGCAGGCCUAACACAUGCAAGUCGAGCGGAUGAGAGGAGCUUGCUCCUCGAUUCAGUGGCGGACGGGUGAGUAAUGCCUAGGAAUCUGCCCAGUAGUGGGGGACAACGUUUCGAAAGGAACACUAAUACCGCAUACGUCCUACGGGAGAAAGUGGGGGAUCUUCGGACCUCACGCUAUUGGAUGAGCCUAGGUCGGAUUAGCUAGUUGGUAGGGUAAAGGCCUACCAAGGCGACGAUCCGUAACUGGUCUGAGAGGAUGAUCAGUCACACUGGAAAUGAGACACGGUCCAGACUCCUACGGGAGGCAGCAGUGGGGAAUAUUGGACAAUGGGCGCAAGCCUGAUCCAGCCAUGCCGCGUGUGUGAAGAAGGCCCUCGGGUCGUAAAGCACUUUAAGUUGGGAGGAAGGGCUUACAGCGAAUACCUGUGAGUUUUGACGUUACCGACAGAAUAAGCACCGGCUAACUUCGUGCCAGCCGCCGCGGUAA